rnacentral:rRNA from 1 species
CGUGGAUGAGUUGUCUCUAGAAAAAUUAUUGAAGUUUCCUUUUAAAUGAAAAGGUUUAAAUUUUUGUAAAAGACGAGAAGACCCUGGCGAGCUGAAUUAGGCGUGAAAUUUUUCUAUACAAAAUGGUUAAUAGAUUAUAAAAUUUGAGGUUGAAUUUUGGUUGGGGAGAGCUAAACUUAAGAGAAUAGGUUUGAGACAGACAUAGAUCCUCUUUGAGAGAUAAUCGGUAAAAAGCUACCGCAGGGAUAACAGCGUAAUUUUUCUUGGGAGAUCGUAUUGAGGGAAAAGUUUGCGACC